rnacentral:rRNA from 1 species
GAUGAACGCUGGCGGCGUGCCUAAUACAUGCAAGUCGAGCGAACAGACGAGGAGCUUGCUCCUCUGACGUUAGCGGCGGACGGGUGAGUAACACGUGGAUAACCUACCUAUAAGACUGGGAUAACUUCGGGAAACCGGAGCUAAUACCGGAUAAUAUAUUGAACCGCAUGGUUCAAUAGUGAAAGACGGUUUUGCUGUCACUUAUAGAUGGAUCCGCGCCGCAUUAGCUAGUUGGUAAGGUAACGGCUUACCAAGGCGACGAUGCGUAGCCGACCUGAGAGGGUGAUCGGCGACACUGGAACUGAGACACGGUCCAGACUCCUACGGGAGGCAGCAGUAGGGAAUCUUACGCAAUGGGCGAAAACCUGACGGAGCAACGCCACGUGAGUGAUGAAGGUCUUCGGAUCGUAAAACUCUGUUAUUAGGGAAGAACAAAUGUGUAAGUAGCUAUGCACGUCUUGACGGUACCUAAUCAGAAAGCCACGGCUAACUACGUG